AACCAACAAAUCUGGCUUGCUCUCCAACUAAUUCCUGGGCACUGUGCUGUGGCUAAACCAGCACUUCUCCUGCGCUAUCACCUCCAAGCACCAGGCACAACACGACCCCAGGAUGGGAGCAGUUCUCAGGAAAUCUGAAGAAGAAAUGUCUGCCAAACCCUGGACAACCCCUAAGGUUACAUAUGGGCGACCCCGGUCACAAAGAUAAGAGCUAUCAACUCACAGGGCUUUCCAAGUGUAGUCCAACACACAACAUGGUAGUACUAAGGAUAUACCAGGGGCAGACCAAGCAUGAACUGGAAACACCAGAACAGAUUUUUCUCUAAAUCAACUAGCCUUGGUUUCAAUUGGGAAACUGGAAAUUGCGAAGCUUCCAUAUUAUAGAAAUUAUACGGGAUCGAUGCAUUUUUAUUUGGAUUCACGGCAUUUUUACCAUGUUUAGAGGUAGCUGUCAUAUUUUCAUUGUAUUUCCUAGAUUGUUUCUUUAUUAAUGCGCUCUAUAAGGCAUCCUGCUUCUGCUUUAUAUUUGUCUGAGAUGAAAAGACCUGAAUAUGUAACUGCAGAAUAUAUGUAUAUAUGUAUUAGAUAAAUAUGUUUCUUUUAUUUCCUUAUGUAUUAUACAUAGAUCGCACCAGGCUCUUGAGUUUGAGUGCGCCCUUCAGGGUUAAUAAUGACUAAGGUACGCAGAUGGCUGAAAAAUAUUGUACCCUUAAUAGGGUCUCUAUUGAAGGAUCGGUAUGGCCCUCUUUUCACUGAAUAAACCUGCAGAAUACAUAGAAUAACCGUGUUUAUGUGUUACAUGUGACUGGAGCUAUAAUUCCAGUUAUACGACCUAAUCCCAUCUGAAUUACCUUUAAAACAACUCCAAUAUUAAUAAUUCAUAAAAUAUAUUUGUUUAAAUGUUUAUUCAUUUAUAUAUGGCAAGGGAAAGAUUGCCAAGUUGCCAACCAGGGUAGAUAAAAUACACAUAUCUCAAGCAAUCUUUUGCCUUACAGAUACAGAUUCACUGCUAAAGUUCGCUAUCCCCAGAAAGUUAGCCUAUUUUUGUUGUGCUGCUUUUAAUUAACUAUCCUGUAUAUUGUUAUUUUAUCCUACAUGUAUUUUCUGAAAUACUUUAAACGAUGCAUCUGUUUAUGAUUUUGUAUAAUAAAGUUUUGUGUUGUGAACAGACUAUA